rnacentral:rRNA from 1 species
UACGUAGGGUGCAAGCGUUGUCCGGAAUUAUUGGGCGUAAAGAGCUCGUAGGCGGUUUGUCGCGCCUGCUGUGAAAACGCGAGGCUCAACCUCGCGCCUGCAGUGGGUACGGGCAGACUAGAGUGCGGUAGGGGAGAUUGGAAUUCCUGGUGUAGCGGUGGAAUGCGCAGAUAUCAGGAGGAACACCGAUGGCGAAGGCAGAUCUCUGGGCCGUAACUGACGCUGAGGAGCGAAAGCGUGGGGAGCGAACAGG